GAUGAAGAACGUAGCGAAAUGCGAUAAGUAGUGUGAAUUGCAGAAUUCAGUGAAUCAUCGAAUCUUUGAACGCACAUUGCGCCCCUUGGUAUCCCGAGGGGCAUGCCUGUUCGAGCGUCAAUUCACCACUCAAGCCUGGCUUGGUGUUGGGCGACGUCCUCUUUGGGGACGCGCCUCGAAACGCUCGGCGGCGUGGCACCGGCUUUAAGCGUAGCAGAAUCUUUCGCUUUGGAAGUCGGGGCCCCGUCUGCCGGAAGACCUGCUCGCAAGGUUGACCUCGGAUCAGGCAGGGAUACCCGCUGAACUUAAGCAUAUCAAUAAGCGGAGGA
rnacentral:misc_RNA from 1 species